GACGAACGCUGGCGGCGUGCUUAACACAUGCAAGUCGAGCGGUAAGGCCCUUUCGGGGGUACGACGAGCGGCGAACGGGUGAGUAACACGUGGGUAACCUGCCCUCAGCUCUGGGAUAAGCCCGGGAAACUGGGUCUAAUACCGGAUAUGACCUCGUAUCGCAUGGUGCGGGGUGGAAAGUGUUCAGUGGCUGAGGAUGGGCCCGCGGCCUAUCAGCUUGUUGGUGGGGUAGUGGCCUACCAAGGCGACGACGGGUAGCCGGCCUGAGAGGGCGACCGGCCACACUGGGACUGAGACACGGCCCAGACUCCUACGGGAGGCAGCAGUGGGGAAUAUUGCGCAAUGGGCGAAAGCCUGACGCAGCGACGCCGCGUGAGGGAUGACGGCCUGUGU
rnacentral:rRNA from 1 species